rfam:Hordeum vulgare subsp. vulgare, WGS project CAJW01000000 data, contig: morex_contig_1590219
UUUCUACUCUCUCCGUUCUAAAAUUCUUGUCUUAGAUUUGUUCGUAAAUGAAUGUAUCUAAACUCUAUAAAUGACUACGUACAUUCAUAUUUAAACAAAUCUAAUGCAAGAAUUUUGAGACGGAGGGAGUAUAAA